rnacentral:tRNA from 1 species
ACUUUUUUAUUAUAUUUUGUAUAUUUGAUUUCCAAUCAAAAGGUUUUUAGAAGUA